rnacentral:rRNA from 1 species
GACGAACGCUGGCGGCGUGCUUAACACAUGCAAGUCGAGCGGUAAGGCCUCUUCGGGGGUACACGAGCGGCGAACGGGUGAGUAACACGUGGGUGACCUGCCCUCAGCUCUGGGAUAAGCCUGGAAAACUGGGUCUAAUACCGGAUAUGACCUUUCCUCGCAUGGGGUUUGGUGGAAAGUUUUUUCGGCUGGGGAUGGGCCCGCGGCCUAUCAGCUUGUUGGUGGGGUGAUGGCCUACCAAGGCGACGACGGGUAGCCGGCCUGAGAGGGCGACCGGCCACACUGGGACUGAGACACGGCCCAGACUCCUACGGGAGGCAGCAGUGGGGAAUAUUGCGCAAUGGGCGGAAGCCUGACGCAGCGACGCCGCGUGGGGGAUGACGGCCUUCGGGUUGUAAACCUCUUUCGACCCCGACGAAUUUGGACGGUAGGGGUAGAAGAAGCACCGGCCAACUACGU